rnacentral:tRNA from 1 species
CCGUCGAUAGCUCAGUUGGUAGAGCGGUGGACUGUAGAGGCUACGCUGUGGAUAUCCAUAGGUCGCUGGUUCGAAUCCGGCUCGACGGA